AGUACAGGUUCCAGGGCUGGAUCCAGUUCCUCUCCCACAUUCUCCAUCAGACACGGUUUCCCAAAGCGGAUGGCAUUCUCCAGACUUCGCAGGAAAUCGCGAUGCAAUCCGGUCUCCACAAAUCAAAUGUUGUAAGAUGGCUGCAAAGAGACCUUAACUGGUCAGGAAACAGCUUAAAAGGAUCCAUUGGCAUCAUGGAAGAUCAAUGCCAAGUAAAGUCCAUGUCUAGGUAUUUUGCUUCAAGAGCAGAUAUUCCAAGUUCCACAUCCUCCAGACGGCUCUUUGCUUCCUCUAGAAUCUUCUGAGUUAUAUCCAGAUCUUCCUGAGCUUCACG